GUUAAAAUAUGUGCUGAAUUAUGGGGGCAUUCCAAGUUAUUAAGAAAUGGAUUUAUUUUACAAGCAAGCUGUAAGCAUUCUUUGCUGUUUUUAUGAGGUCAUCGACAUGACUUUUAAAUGGGGCUCUAGGCCAACUCUGAUUCUCACGUCAGUUCAUUAAUUCACACAGCUGUCUCUGAACACUACAAGAAUAAUAUAUACUGCAGACAGAGGGCCAGAGAGCGGGUGGGGUGAGAUUUCAAGGCUGUAUAUCAGUCGGGGGAUCCUGCUGACAUCAUAAACUAUGAGAAGACAGCUUAAGCUGUUUGGGGAACAGCAGUAGCCCCCCUGAUGGAAAUAUGGCUGGUUUAAUUGAUUCUUUUUAGUUUCAGAAUAUACAGAGUGGGGACACCCAGUUGUUUUGAUUCCGAGCAAAGUCCGAACAUGAAAGGCAGACCCUGCAGGAAUGCAUUAGCAGGGAAACCCCAGCAGAGACCUAAGGUGUGGGGAGGGGUUUGAUCGUGUUAACGAUAUAUGAGCAGCCGCGCUGACAUAUGAAGGGCAGCGGCCCGGUUGACUGCACAAUGAUUUUGUUUUAUAGGUGAUUGUGAACUCAUCUUCUCUAUGAACAGUUUCUCCAAACGAGAUGUGACAAGGGUGCUAUGACUGUAGCGUGAGGGAGGGGUUGGGAGAAGAAAAUCUUCUGAAGAAGCUUCGUCACCCUCUCUCAGCUCCCUGAUUUGUAGCCAACACUGAAUGAGGAGAAGUGAACUGUCCUGUGGUGGGACUUCUGGCAGCCUUUCUCACUUGGUCAGAAAGAGGCAUUGCUAAUAUCUGCAUUAAAAACUCACCCUGGAAGAGGAAGAGACCCCACAGCUCUCUCACUCUCUCUGCCAUGUGAGGACACAGCAAGAAGGCAGCCAUCUGUAAGGCAGGAAGAGGACCCUCACCAGGAACGGAACCAGCCAGCACCAUGACCUUGGACUUCCCAGCCUCUAUAACUCUUCGACUGGAAGCUGACCUAAGGUGGCUGUCCCAUUGGAACAAAUGUAACAAAGAUUCACAUAUAGACAUCAAUAACUGAUAAAGAAUUAGCCAUAAGUAUGCACUCCAAGACAUGGAAAUACGUCUCAAACUACCAUGACCGUCCUGUCACGAAGGCAAGGCUGUCACCACAUUGUUCACAAAUGCUUGGCCCAGUGUAAUCUCAAGUGACAAAAGGGAAUAGGCUGUCAUCACCCGCAUAGACAACGCUCCGUUGUGAUAGAACGAAUAGACUUUUAGGAGACAUCCUGAUACUCAAUAUAUGGUUUCCUUCCAAUAGCAUUGUCUGUUGCUUGCUCGUUUUAAACACAACUUAAUCGAUGCUGUGAAACUAAAUCCCAUUUUCUAGCUCCUGUAAGAAUUCAGUGCUUCUGGGUUUGAGCUUUGUUUUCUUAGUGACAUCAGUUUGUUUUAACAUUCCCAUUAGGGAUUCUUUUGUGAGGGGAGAUGUAAAUUAGGUUUUACUUUGUUUAUUCUGAGUUUGUCGUGAGCAGAAGUUUGAUGAAAUAAUCUUUGAAAAUCCAGAAGACCCUACACACUAUGGUAGCAUAAUCCAGUUUCCCCCUCACUAUUGCAUCUGACGUCCUUCUGAAAAAAAAAAAAUGAAUAUUUUAGGCAGGAGACAAACACGAGGGAAAGAAGAGGUUUGGGGGUGAAACUGGGGACAAAUGAGAACUCCAGUGCUUCGGUGAAAUGUAUCUGCUCGCUCGGUGUACCAGUUCUCAAUCUUCCAGCUUCCCCUGCUUUUCCACCCCAUUUGACUCCCCCACCUGCAAGGUCAGCUGCUCCAAGGAGCAAUUUAUAAACUUGCAGCUCAUAUUGUGGUUGCAGUUCCAGGACUGACAUGAAAUUAAAUCAGUCUUGAGUGCUGUAGGAUGCAAAAGCUACCUUCCGAGUUUACUGAGCCCUCCACGACUCCUAAUAAAUCUUGGAAAGGUAGCAUUCCACCAGUAAAUGCCCAGCGUCUCUCCUCACAAAAGGACCUUGAAAUGGAAACAACGAAGUUUUCUUUGAGGCCAUAUUUCAUACCACGGAGAGGGAGACGUACAUGGAAGCCGCAUUCUUAAGCACCCUUUUCCAGCUCUGCAACAGGCGCUUUGUGAGACAAUGUUAAAUGAGCCCUUAACUUGCUCCUCCACGUUCCCAACUGCUGGGGCCGCGUGGUAUGAAAACAUCCGUGAAAAGUUGACUGUACUCACAAAGUUUCAUUAUUGUUUUUCAAGAGCAGAAGGUGAGUCUUUAAAAGGUCAAUGAGCCUAUAAAUAUGGCUUUGCUACAAAUGUGUCACCCCUCAAUUUCCAG
ensembl:lncRNA